GACGAACGCUGGCGGCGUGCUUAACACAUGCAAGUCGAACGGAAAGGCCCUGCUCUUGUGGGGUGCUCGAGUGGCGAACGGGUGAGUAACACGUGAGUAACCUGCCCUUGACUUUGGGAUAACUUCAGGAAACUGGGGCUAAUACCGGAUAGGAGCUCCUGCUGCACGGUGGGGGUUGGAAAGUUUCGGCGGUUGGGGAUGGACUCGCGGCCUAUCAGCUUGUUGGUGGGGUAGUGGCUUACCAAGGCUUUGACGGGUAGCCGGCCUGAGAGGGUGACCGGCCACAUUGGGACUGAGAUACGGCCCAGACUCCUACGGGAGGCAGCAGUGGGGAAUAUUGCACAGUGGGCGGAAGCCUGAUGCAGCAACGCCGCGUGCGGGAUGACGGCCUUCGGGUUGUAAACCGCUUUCGCCUGUGACGAAGCGUGAGUGACGGUAAUGGGUAAAGAAGCACCGGCUAACUACGUG
rnacentral:rRNA from 1 species